rnacentral:rRNA from 1 species
GACAGGGGAUGCAAGCGUUAUCCGGAAUGAUUGGGCGUAAAGCGUCUGUAGGUGGCUUUUUAAGUCUGCCGUCAAAUCCCAGGGCUCAACCCUGGCCAGACGGUGGAGACUACUCAGCUGGAGUACGGUAGGGGCAGAGGGAAUUUCCGGUGGAGCGGUGAAAUGCGUAGAUAUCGGAAAGAACACCAAGGGCGAAGGCACUCUGCUGGGCCGAAACUGACACUGAGACACGAGAGCUAGGGGAGCAAAUGGG